rnacentral:rRNA from 1 species
AACGCGAAGAACCUUACCUACCCUUGACAUGGCUGGAAUCCUCGAGAGAUUGGGGAGUGCUCGAAAGAGAACCAGUACACAGGUGCUGCAUGGCUGUCGUCAGCUCGUGUCGUGAGAUGUUGGGUUAAGUCCCGCAACGAGCGCAACCCUUGUCAUUAGUUGCUACGAAAGGGCACUCUAAUGAGACUGCCGGUGACAAACCGGAGGAAGGUGGGGAUGACGUCAAGUCCUCAUGGCCCUUAUGGUGUAGGGCUCACACGUCAUACAAUGGUACAUACAGAGCGCCGCCAACCCGCGAGGGGGAGCUAAUCGCAUAAAGUGUAUCGUAGUCCGGAUUGUAGUCUGCAACUCGACUGCAUGAAGUUGGAAUCGCUAGUAAUCGCGGAUCAGCAUGUCGCGGUGAAUACGUUCCCGGGUCUUGUACACAC